UAGGGAAUCUUCGGCAAUGGACGAAAGUCUGACCGAGCAACGCCGCGUGAGUGAAGAAGGUUUUCGGAUCGUAAAACUCUGUUGUUAGAGAAGAACAAGGACGUUAGUAACUGAACGUCCCCUGACGGUAUCUAACCAGAAAGCCACGGCUAACUACGUGCCAGCAGCCGCGGUAAUACGUAGGUGGCAAGCGUUGUCCGGAUUUAUUGGGCGUAAAGCGAGCGCAGGCGGUUUCUUAAUUCUGAUGUGAAAGCCCCCGGCUCAACCGGGGAGGGUCAUUGGAAGCUGGGAGACUUGAGUGCAGAAGAGGAGAGUGGAAUUCCAUGUGUAGCGGUGAAAUGCGUAGAUAUAUGGAGGAACACCAGUGGCGAAGGCGGCUCUCUGGUCUGUAACUGACGCUGAGGCUCGAAAGCGUGGGGAGCAAACAGG
rnacentral:rRNA from 1 species